rnacentral:lncRNA from 1 species
UUUCUCCCAGCCUCUAUCCAAGUAGCCCCCUCUGCCUGGAACAGUGCUACUCAAAGUGUGGUCCCCAAACCAGCAGUGUCAAGGUUGCUGGGAACUGGGGAGACAUACAUAUUCCCAGGCCCCACCUCACACUGACUGAAUCAGAACCGCUGGGGGUGGGGGCUCAAGGAUGUAUUUCAAGCGCUCCAGAUGACUCUUCUAGACACUAAGGUUUCAGAGCCACUGUCCCCAGACAGGGUGCCCCUCCUGCUCUGCCUGGUGACUAUCUGUCUGCCUCUCUCUAUCUCUCUGUUUGUAGGAGCUCAGAUCAUGCCCUGGAGAAGCAGGUGACAUCGCGGAAUUUUCCUGGUGAGAGCAGGCAAGAGGAGGAGCCCCUCCAUCCUCCCACCUGGGUCUGGGGCUCAGAAUCUUCCCUGCUUUCUUGUUGAGUGGCUGGAAACUCCGGGAGUUGUGGCAGGCCAGGAGGCCGGCUUAUCCCCAGGAGGGGGCUUUGGAGGCUAGAUUCAUAUCCUAGGGCUGUUCUAACAAAAAUGAUCAAAAACCAGGUGGCUUAGAACAACAAUAAUGGGUGGUUCCUUCUGGAGGCUCUGAGAGAAUCACCCCAGGCCUCUCUCCAGCUUCUGGUGCUGGUAUUCUCAGGCUUGUAGGCGCAUCACCCAUGUCUGCCUCCAUCUUCACAUGGCCUUCUCCUCUGUGUCUGCCUGAAGUCUCCCUUCAUUUCUCUUGUAAGGACAUCAGUCAUUGGAUUUAGAGCCCACCCUAAACCCAGAAUGAUCUCAUCUCAAGAUUACAUCUGCACAGACGCUAUUUCCAGAUAAGGUCACAGUCAAAGGUACCAGGGGUUAGGAUAUGAACAUAUCUUUUUGAAAGACACGAUUUAACCUACAGCAGGUGCUCAGGGCAGUUGGGUGGGGGCCUGUGCUAGGGGCCCAACAGCCAAGGCUUAAAGCCGCACUCCACACCUAGGCCUGUGACACCUCCCACAAGCUUCUUCACCUCUCAAGCCUCAACUUCUACUUCUGCAAACAGGGAACAAUAAAAGUAUCUCCCUGCCCCCACCUUGCAGGGUUUCCAGUUCCAAUGUCUACACACUCACCUGGGA